UAUUAUUCUAACAGUAGGUGGAUUAAUAGUGAAAAUCGGCAGGCUGUUCUCAUUCCAAACCACACUGCUUUUACAAGUGCCUGCUUCUUGCUCAAAUAGAAAUACAAGCACAUUUCAGGAAAAUUCUGAAUAAUGUAAGCCUUGGCUUAGCAAAUGAAGGUGCUAUUGGAGGAUUCAACAAAAGAUUUGAGAUCACUUCUUUUCAUGCUUAAUAUCUCCCAAAGGAGAAGAAGCCGCCCUAAAGUAUUCCAAAAAUAUGAGAGAUAAUCAACUUACAGAACAGCAGAGCUUCUCCAAAAGAGGAAGAGAUUGUUGAUUAACAGCUAAGAGUUGUGAUGAAGGAUGAACAGCUGAGUUUUUUCUUCCUUGAACUGGAGCUGAGGAUGACACAUCAAGAGGAAAUGCAAGACAGGCAGGCUGAGAUUUCAUUUGGACACAAGCAGAUGGAUCUGGAACAGAGAGAUUGAUCUGAAGCUUGUCCAUAUAAAGACAGUAAUUAACUUUGUACUUACAGAUGAGUCAGGUGCACAAGAAAAGAGAAGGAAACCACGGGAAAACAGCUCUACAAGACCCACAAUAUGAGCGAAUAUUUUCCUUCCUUAUUUUCAUGUCCACGUAAUAACGUGUGCUUUUUACUGUCACUUGCUUCAGCAAUUUCUUAUUUUAACAGAGAAAUCAGAUUUUCCACAGCCCGAAGCCUUCAGAGAAGCCUUGCAAUACAAAAAUAUUGUACUGACAGUAGCAUAUAUUUUCAGGGGAAAAAAAAUAUACAUAUAUUCCAGUUUUGGGAAUCUAAAUGGCCACUGACAUACGUACAGAAAACACUAAGCAGUAAGUUGUAUAUUGAAUACUGCAUGCAAGUGAGAACCAUUUUAUACGACGCUUUGAAAAGAGAAAAAUGAAGUUUCAUCACUAUACUGACAGAGCUGAACACUGAAGCUUCUGGUCUUCCUUUUUGCUGACAAGAUACACCAAUGUGCCUUGAAACUGGUCUCUGGCAUUGGCCUGUAUUGCCAAGAGGCUGAUCUUACUGACAGUGAAUACUUUCUUUCAAUACACAACACACACAUGGGAUGCAGAGUUUCUUUGGUUCCUGCAGAUGCUCAGGAAAUGCUGUAUCAACCACAAGGUGAGAUCCACAACACUCUGUGGUCAGCUCAUCAUUACAGAAACACAGCUGCUGACACCUACCAAAAUGGAACUGAUUGCGGUAGGUCGCUAGCCCCCAGCAAGCCAAUGCUAACAAAUAUUCCUACUGCCAUUACUCUUCUGCUCUCCGUCUUUGGUGCCUCUUCCACCUGCAAUGUCUUCAGGCAAAGGCGAGGUUGCUGCACAGUUUUUGUGCACUUAGUCCCAUGAAAAUAUGCACAGCACAUGCGCACUUGUUGUUAUCAAGGCCUCAUCUUGACAGCACAAUGGCUAAGGGAACACUAAGUGGCACAGAUUUCAUGCUGUGGCUACAAGUACUGGUGCAUGGAUGCACCUCUACAGACAAAUUGGG
ensembl:lncRNA